GUGCUUGCUUGGGCAGCACCUACACUAAAAUUGGAACUAAAAUUGGAUACAGAGGAGAUUAGCAACGGCCCCUGCGCAAGGAUGACACGAAAAUUCGUGAAGCGUUCCAUAUUAAA
rnacentral:snRNA from 1 species